GUCUUUUUGAUAAUAAUUUAAAGUCGAAUCUGCCCCCUGAUAAAUUUAUUAAAGGGCUGCAGUAUAUUGACUGUACAAAGGUAGCAUAAUCCUUAGUCUUUUAAUUGAAGACUUGUAUGAAAGAUUUGAUGAGAUAUAAACUGUCUCUGUUUUAUAUUUAAAAUUUAAUUUUUUAGUAAAAAAGCUAAAAUAAGUUUAAAAGACGAGAAGACCCUAUAGAGUUUUAUAUUUAUUUAAAUUUAAAUUUUUUAUAAAUUUUAAAAUAAAAAUUUAAAAUAAAUAUUUUAUUGGGGUGAUAAAAAAAUUAAUAAAACUUUUUUUUAAUAUUAACAUAAAUAAAUGAUUAAUUGAUCCAUAAAUUAUGAUUAUAAGAUUAAAUUACCUUAGGGAUAACAGCGUAAUUUUUUUUUUUAGUUCAAAUAAAAAAAAAAGUUUGCGACCUCGAUGUUGGAUUAAGAUAAAAUUUAAAUGUAAAAGUUUAAAAUUUUGAUCUGUUCCAUCAUUAAAAUCUUACA
rnacentral:rRNA from 1 species